rnacentral:rRNA from 1 species
GACGAACGCUGGCGGCGUGCUUAACACAUGCAAGUCGAACGGUAAGGCCCUUCGGGGUACACGAGUGGCGAACGGGUGAGUAACACGUGGGUGAUCUGCCCUGCACUUCGGGAUAAGCCUGGGAAACUGGGUCUAAUACCGGAUAGGACCACUGCCUGCAUGGGUGGUGGUGGAAAGCUUUUGCGGUGUGGGAUGGGCCCGCGGCCUAUCAGCUUGUUGGUGGGGUGAUGGCCUACCAAGGCGACGACGGGUAGCCGGCCUGAGAGGGUGACCGGCCACACUGGGACUGAGAUACGGCCCAGACUCCUACGGGAGGCAGCAGAGAGGAAUUUUCCACAAUGGACGAAAGUCUGAUGGAGCAACGCUGCGUGCAGGAAGACGGCCUUAGGGUUGUAAACUGCUUUUAUUUGGGAAGAUUAUGACGGUACCAAAUGAAUAAGGAUCGGCUAACUACGUGCCAGCAGCCGCCGAGUAA